UACGGAGGGUGCGAGCGUUGUCCGGAAUCACUGGGCGUAAAGGGCGCGUAGGCGGCGCGGGCAGUCAACGGUGAAAGCUCGGGGCUCAACCCCGAGUCGGCCGUCGAUACUCCCGUGCUCGAGCACUGUAGAGGCAGGUGGAAUUCCGGGUGUAGCGGUGGAAUGCGUAGAGAUCCGGAAGAACACCGGUGGCGAAGGCGGCCUGCUGGGCAGUAGCUGACGCUGAUGCGCGAAAGCGUGGGGAGCAAACAGG
rnacentral:rRNA from 1 species